UNGGAGAGGAAAGUGGAAUUCCUAGUGUAGCGGUGAAAUGCGUAGAUAUUAGGAAGAACACCAGUGGCGANGGCGACUUUCUGGACGAAAACUGACGCUGAGGCGCGAAAGCCAGGGGAGCGAACGGGAUUAGAUACCCCGGUAGUCCUGGCCGUAAACGAUGGGUACUAGGUGUAGGAGGUAUCGACCCCUUCUGUGCCGGAGUUAACGCAAUAAGUACCCCGCCUGGGGAGUACGACCGCAAGGUUGAAACUCAAAGGAAUUGACGGGGGCCCGCACAAGCGGUGGAGUAUGUGGUUUAAUUCGACGCAACGCGAAGAACCUUACCAGGUCUUGACAUUGAUGGACAGAACCAGAGAUGGUUCCUCUUCUUCGGAAGCCAGAAAACAGGUGGUGCACGGUUGUCGUCAGCUCGUGUCGUGAGAUGUUGGGUUANNNNNNNNNNACGAGCGCAACCCCUAUCUUAUGUUGCCAGCACUUUGGGUGGGGACUCAUGAGAGACUGCCGCAGACAAUGCGGAGGAAGGCGGGGAUGACGUCAAAUCAUCAUGCCCCUUAUGACCUGGGCUACACACGUACUACAAUGGGAGUUAAUAGACGGAAGCGAGAUCGCGAGAUGGAGCAAACCCGAGAAACACUCUCUCAGUUCGGAUCGUAGGCUGCAACU
rnacentral:rRNA from 1 species